rnacentral:piRNA from 1 species
UAAAAUUUUCAGAUGGAAAUG